UUAUUACUUUGAAAUGUGUCCAAUGUCACAGAUUCCUAAGGGACUUGUAUCCAUUCAGUGUGUCUUUGUGUGUUUUUUUUUUUAAAGUAAGUGAUGCUUACCCAAAAAUUCACUAUUGAAGUACUUUAGCAAGUAUUUAUUUUUCAGAAACCCACUUGUGGGAAGUUUUCCUGUAUUUUUGGUAGUAAUUAGAGGGAUGAUUAUAUCAUUUAAUAUGGAUAUAGUUUUAACUAUUGCUGUAAUUAACCACUUUGGUUACUGAUACUCUCCCUAAGUUUUGUUGUCACCUGUUUGGGUUUGGUUUAGAUUCUUAAAUUUUUUAUGAGGAGUGUAUGUACAAUGAUUUGGCCCUUUUAAAUGAAGACGUAAGGAAUUAGGGAAGAAGGGACUUCAUUUAAAGAUUCAGUUUACAAUUUAAGUAGACUAUGUAGAACAUACAUUGUGUUAAAAAUAAAUUUGCAUAGGUAUCUACAUUGGUUUUCAAGAAGAGUGGGAUAGGGGUGGAAUUUAGCUGAUGGAAUAUGAAUAAUUUAUGGUUUAUAUUAAAAGAAAGUCAUAAUUUUAAGUGAGAAACUAUUUCUAUAAAGUGU
rnacentral:lncRNA from 1 species